AUGAUAAAGGAGAUAAGGAAGAAAAGCAGCAUUUCAUGGGACGACCAACAGUGCAAGAUUCUAGCGGAUCCACCACUUUGGAAAAAAAUCAUCAUAUCACACCCUAAAGCUGGAAAGUUUAAGACAAAACCUUUCUCUCUUUUUGAAGCUUUGGGAGAAUUGCAUGAUGGACAAACUACUGAAGGGACAUAUAACUUCACCUCUAUCGAGUCAUCGCAGUACUCAAACCAAGCACAACUCGAGAAUCUGGGAGGAGUUGGUGAGAGAGGAACAUUAGCGAAUGGUGAGAAUCUUGGAGGAGAAAGGGUGCAGAUUGACGAAGAUGUUGAGGAGGUGCACAUGCAAUAA
rnacentral:rRNA from 1 species